rnacentral:rRNA from 1 species
AACGUAGGGGGCCCAGCGUUGCUCGGAAUUACUGGGCGUAAAGGGUCCGUAGGCGGUGCGGCAAGUUGGGAGUGAAAUCUCCGGGCUUAACUCGGAGGCUGCUUCCAAAACUGCCGUGCUCGAGUGUGGGAGAGGCGAGUGGAAUUGCAGGUGUAGCGGUGAAAUGCGUAGAUCUCUGCAGGAACACCCGUGGCGAAAGCGGCUCGCUGGACCACAACUGACGCUGAGGGACGAAAGCUAGGGGAGCAAACAGGAUUAGAUACCCUGGUAGU